ACUAGAUUGCACAUUUUACAUCACAACCGAACAAGAAGAACUCAAAGGAUAAACAAUUCCAGUAUUUAAUUCCAGAAUCGCCAAUCUCCAGCCGCGGCCCUCUUUGAAGGUAAGUAAGCAUAGAACUGAUCAUCAAUAGAACACUAUCUUUUGUAUCACAUAUUACCUUUUAACAGUUUCGAUAAUGUCGUAUCAAGAUAAUAAUGAUGGAAAGAAACAAAAGAAGAAUACCUUUUCAUCCACGGAUGACCAGCAGUAUGGCAGCGUAGAGGGAUUGGAUAAGAAGACAGAAGAAAGUAACGGAGGAAAAAAGGAGAAGAAAGAUAAAUGGAACAUUUCUGGUAACAACUCCGAGCCAUCGGAGGAGCAACAAACGAGAGUAAUUAAUCAGAACAUAAGAUUUAAUCAGUAUGAUGAACAGAAGAACAAAAAGGACAAGAAAAAUCGUUAAUGAUGCAUUCAGAUUACAAAUUUUAAGUAGUAUUAUAUACACAUACGUAGAAGAAAAAAACAUACAUGCAUACCCACAUAAUAUAGCAUACAAACUAUCUUCUACAUGCAAAAAGUAAUAAUCUAGGUCGAGUCUCAUGCAUAUUUUUCAUGUGAAAACAAGGUUGUUUUAAAAGGGAUUUAUCUUGGUACUGUAGUAUCCAAAUCCAAUUAGGGAUAGUUUUAAUUGGGUUUUUAUCUCUUGUUUGGAAGUCCUUUGGGAUGCUAGCUAGUUCUAGGUUUUGAGUGGUGAGAUCUACAAUCUAAGGUUCAACUUUUCUCACUUUUCUCUGUUUUAGGGCUGUUUGUAACCUGCCUUCUUUGAGCUUUUUUUGCAAUAUAAUUUGGUACCUAUAAUUGUUAUA